AUUGAACGCUGGCGGCACGCCUUACACAUGCAAGUCCAACGGUAACAGGUCUUCGGAUGCUGACGAGUGGCGAACGGGUGAGUAAUACAUCGGAACGUGCCCGAGAGUGGGGGAUAACGAAGCGAAAGCUUUGCUAAUACCGCAUACGAUCUCAGGAUGAAAGCAGGGGACCGCAAGGCCUUGUGCUCACGGAGCGGCCGAUGGCAGAUUAGGUAGUUGGUGGGAUAAAAGCUUACCAAGCCGACGAUCUGUAGCUGGUCUGAGAGGACGACCAGCCACACUGGGACUGAGACACGGCCCAGACUCCUACGGGAGGCAGCAGUGGGGAAUUUUGGACAAUGGGCGAAAGCCUGAUCCAGCCAUGCCGCGUGCAGGAUGAAGGCCUUCGGGUUGUAAACUGCUUUUGUACGGAACGAAAAGGCUCUGGUUAAUACCUGGAGUCCAUGACGGUACCGUAAGAAUAAGCAUCGGCUAACUACGUGCCAGCCGCCGCGGUAAUAC
rnacentral:rRNA from 1 species